CUCUCUCCCCCAGGUCCCUUCGGGGCGCCCGCCAGCGGCCGCGAGCCGCCUGAACUUUUUUUAAACCGUAACGAAACGUCUGAGAAACAAACAAAAACAGCCAAAACUUUCAACAACGGAUCUCUUGGCUCUGGCAUCGAUGAAGAACGCAGCGAAAUGCGAUACGUAAUGCGAAUUGCAGAAUUCAGCGAGUCAUCGAAUCUUUGAACGCACAUUGCGCCCGCCAGCAUUCUGGCGGGCAUGCCUGUCCGAGCGUCAUUUCCCCCCUCAGCACGCCCUUUGGGUGCGCUGGCGUUGGGGCUCCUCCGCCCUCUGUGGCGGCAGGGCCCUCAAAUCCAGUGGCGGGCCCGUCUGGUUGGCUCCGAGCGCAGUACCGAACGCAAGUUCUCUCUCUCGCCCUGCAGCCCCGGCCGGCGCCCAGCCGUCAAGCCGCGCAGGCAGCCCUCUCAGGGCCGCCUCGCAUUUACAAGGUAGCCUCAGU
rnacentral:sRNA from 1 species